rnacentral:rRNA from 1 species
CACGUAGUUAGCCGGUGUUUCUUCUGCAGGUACCGUCACUCACGCUUCGUCCCUGCUGAAAGAGGUUUACAACCCGAAGGCCCUCAUCCCUCACGCGGCGUCGCUGCAUCAGGCUUCCGCCCAUUGUGCAAUAUUCCCCACUGCUGCCUCCCGUAGGAGUCUGGGCCGUGUCUCAGUCCCAGUGUGGCCGGUCACCCUCUCAGGUCGGCUACCCGUCGUCGCCUUGGUAGGCCAUUACCCCACCAACAAGCUGAUAGGCCGCGGGCCCAUCCUGCACCGAUAAAUCUUUCCACCACAACACAUGCAUGCUGUGGUCAUAUCCGGUAUUAGACCCAGUUUCCCAAGCUUAUCCCAGAGUGCAGGGCAGAUCACCCACGUGUUACUCACCCGUUCGCCGCUCGUGUACCCCGAAAGGCCUUACCGCUCGACUUGCAUGUGUUAAGCACGCCGCCAGCGUCGUCCUCGAGCCACGGAGUCAACUACUCUCGUAGACUACGCCGAAC